AGCUAGAAUUUUCUAAAAUAGUCCAGAUUAAAGCUAGUCCUUCCCCUUAGUGGUCAACCUUGCUGAGAUCAUAAGUAUUUAUGGAGCUUUUCUAAUUGCCAGGCACUGCUUUAGAUUCUGGAGAUACAAUGAUGAUCAAGACACGUCUCUGCCCUCAAGUCACUAAGAGUCUAGUGGAGGAGAUGGAUGAGUGAACAGACAACUAAAUACAGCAUGAUAACUCUACAACUGGGUGAGACAGUAAAAGCUUAUUUGAGACUGUGCGUGUGUACGUGUGCUGCCUGUCAUGGAGGUCAUGGUGGAUGGAAGGGUGUCAAACCAGCUGUUGGUCAGAGGAUCCCAGGAAGAGCAUAUCCAUUUCCAAGGCAUAUCCAUCAGGUUCAUGCUUUCUCCUCUAUAUCCAGCAGAAAUAUCUGAACCUUUAUGACAUACACAGCACCUGGUCCACUGCCUGGAGCUUACUGAGGGAAUGCCAUUUUAUUAUAAAGGAUAUGAUAAAGUAUACCGAUGAACAGCCAGUGGAAGAAGUACAUCGGGCAAGUUCUGGAAGAGUUUCAAGCUUCUGUCCCCAUGGAGUUGAGGUACACCACCCUCUUGGGGUGUGGAUGUGUUCACCAACCCAGAAGCUUGGGGAUUUUCAUGGAGGCGUCAUCAAGUAAGCACGGUUGAUAAUUAACUCAGUCUCCAGCCCCUGUCCUCUCCCCAGGGUUUGAGAGGUGGGGCCAAAAGUUCCAAGCUUCUAAUCCUGGUUUGAUCUUUCUGGUGACCAGCGCCCAUCCUGAAGCUAUCUAGGAGCCCACCCAGAGUCAUCUUAUUAGAACAAAAGACGUUCCUAUCACCCAGGAAAUUCCGAGGGAUUUAGGAGCUCUGUAUUAGGAACCAGGGUCCAAGACCAAAUAUUAGAACAGAGGAUGCUCCUAGCACCCCUAUCACUCAGGAAAUUAGAAGGAUUUUAGGAGUUCUGUGUCAGGAACUGGGGACAGACACCAAAUAUAUGUAUAUUUCUUAUGACGUCACACUACUAUGACUAUUGCACAAUAUUUUUUAUACAUUCUCCUGUUGAUGGACAUUUCGGUUGUUUCCAGUUUGGGGUUUUUAUGAAUGAAGCUGCUAUAAACAUAUUUAUGCAAGUCUUUUUAUGGACACGUUUUCACUUUUCUUGGGUAAACACCUACAACUAAAUAGCUGUGCCACGGAGUAGAUGAUCACAGUCCCUUUACAUUUAUUCCUAACUGUAUCGUUGUUACCAUCAUAAAUAGGAUUCUUUUCCACUCCAUUUUCUAAAUGUUAUUUCUGAUUUAUAAGA